rnacentral:snRNA from 1 species
AAAUUACUUGAACCCAGGAGGCGGAGGCUUCAGUGAGCUGAGAUCGCACCACUGCACUCCAGCCUGGGCAACAGAU